rnacentral:rRNA from 1 species
GGUUGCUUCGGUAACUGACCUAGCGGCGGACGGGUGAGUAAUACUUAGGAAUCUGCCUAUUAAUGGGGGACAACAUCUCGAAAGGGAUGCUAAUACCGCAUACGCCCUACGGGGGAAAGCAGGGGAUCACUUGUGACCUUGCGUUAAUAGAUGAGCCUAAGUCGGAUUAGCUAGUUGGUGGGGUAAAGGCCUACCAAGGCGACGAUCUGUAGCGGGUCUGAGAGGAUGAUCCGCCACACUGGGACUGAGACACGGCCCAGACUCCUACGGGAGGCAGCAGUGGGGAAUAUUGGACAAUGGGGGGAACCCUGAUCCAGCCAUGCCGCGUGUGUGAAGAAGGCCUUAUGGUUGUAAAGCACUUUAAGCGAGGAGGAGGCUCUCUUGGUUAAUACCCAAGAUGAGUGGACGUUACUCGCAGAAUAAGCACCGGCUAACUCUGUGCCAGCAGCCGCGGUAAUACAGAGGGUGCGAGCGUUAAUCGGAUUUACUGGGCGUAAAGCGUGCGUAGGCGGCUUUUUAAGUCGGAUGUGAAAUCCCCGAGCUUAACUUGGGAAUUGCAUUCGAUACUGGGAAGCUAGAGUAUGGGAGAGGAUGGUAGAAUUCCAGGUGUAGCGGUGAAAUGCGUAGAGAUCUGGAGGAAUACCGAUGGCGAAGGCAGCCAUCUGGCCUAAUACUGACGCUGAGGUACGAAAGCAUGGGGAGCAAACAGGAUUAGAUACCCUGGUAGUCCAUGCCGUAAACGAUGUCUACUAGCCGUUGGGGCCUUUGAGGCUUUAGUGGCGCAGCUAACGCGAUAAGUAGACCGCCUGGGGAGUAUGGUCGCAAGACUAAAACUCAAAUGAAUUGACGGGGGCCCGCACAAGCGGCGGAGCAUGUGGUUUAAUUCGAUGCAACGCGAAGAACCUUACCUGGUCUUGACAUAGUAAGAACUUUCCAGAGAUGGAUUGGUGCCUUCGGGAACUUACAUACAGGUGCUGCAUGGCUGUCGUCAGCUCGUGUCGUGAGAUGUUGGGUUAAGUCCCGCAACGAGCGCAACCCUCGCCAUUAGUUGCCAUCAUUUAGUUGGGAACUCUAAUGGGACUGCCGGUGCUAAGCCGGAGGAAGGUGGGGAUGACGUCAAGUCCUCAUGGCCCUUACAGGGUGGGCUACACACGUGCUACAAUGGCUACUACAGAGGGUUAAUCCUUAAAAGUAGUCUCAGUUCGGAUUGUCCUCUGCAACUCGAGGGCAUGAAGUUG